UGUUAAAAAAAUUAUCUAUUUCUAUUAUUAAAAACUGGCGUGACUAAUGAAAUAAUCAAACAUUUACACGUAAUAUGUCACGUGUACCUCACACGUAAUAGUAGAAAUGAAUGAAAUUUUUAAUA
rfam:Gossypium raimondii Chr07_contig_291, whole genome shotgun sequence.